rnacentral:lncRNA from 1 species
AGAUUCUUUCACAUGCAAAACAGUGUGUCAAUGUCUGUUAUAUACUUACAUUCUUUCACCUUAUCAGAGGUGGAGUAUCAGAGGCAUUCACAGAAUUUUCGUUUCUUCUUCUUCCCAUACCAUUUUCAAAACCAUUCCAUAUCCAUUCCAAAGCUUGAACACAAAGGGUUCCAUAUUUAAGGUAAGUUUACAAACUUAAAUUUAUAUUAUU